ACCGAUCUGUACAGCAUUUCAGAAUUGAGAGUCCGAGAGGUUUUCGGAUCGGAAUGGGAUCUAGUCGAGCGACAAAUCCAGGGGCUGUGUGGCCAAAGGGAUUGACAAAAUACAAGGGGGCGCCUAGGACUGUAAUUCAAGCCGGCACACAGUCAUUGAAAGCCGGUGGAAUAACCCUUGGAAUACAGUUGUAGCCUCACUUUAACUUAAACCAGGUUCUGGAGCUCUAUAUUGGGUGUUCUUUAUUUUACUUCUUACUCCAUGGGAGUGAGCCUGAAGCCUC
ensembl:ncRNA lncRNA:CR44469 long non-coding RNA:CR44469